rnacentral:rRNA from 1 species
GACGAACGCUGGCGGCGUGCUUAACACAUGCAAGUCGAACGGAAAGGCCCUGCUUUUGUGGGGUGCUCGAGUGGCGAACGGGUGAGUAACACGUGAGUAACCUGCCCUUUACUUUGGGAUAACUUCAGGAAACUGGGGCUAAUACCGGAUAGGAGCUCCUGCUGCAUGGUGGGGGUUGGAAAGUUUCGGCGGUUGGGGAUGGACUCGCGGCUUAUCAGCUUGUUGGUGGGGUAGUGGCUUACCAAGGCUUUGACGGGUAGCCGGUCUGAGAGGGUUACCGGACACAUUGGGACUGAGAUACGGCCCAGACUCCUACGGGAGGCAGCAGUGGGGAAUAUUGCAAAAUGGGCGGAAGCAUGAUGCAGCAACGCAGCGUGCGGGAUGACGGCCUUAGGGUUGUAAACCGCUUUCGCCUGUGACGAAGCGUGAGUGACGGUAAUGGGUAAAGAAGCACCGGCUAACUACGUG